AGUGAACGCUGGCGGUAGGCCUAACACAUGCAAGUCGAACGGCAGCACAGUAAGAGCUUGCUCUUACGGGUGGCGAGUGGCGGACGGGUGAGGAAUACAUCGGAAUCUACUUUUUCGUGGGGGAUAACGUAGGGAAACUUACGCUAAUACCGCAUACGACCUACGGGUGAAAGCAGGGGAUCUUCGGACCUUGCGCGAUUGAAUGAGCCGAUGUCGGAUUAGCUAGUUGGCGGGGUAAAGGCCCACCAAGGCGACGAUCCGUAGCUGGUCCGAGAGGAUGAUCAGCCACACUGGAACUGAGACACGGUCCAGACUCCUACGGGAGGCAGCAGUGGGGAAUAUUGGACAAUGGGCGCAAGCCUGAUCCAGCCAUACCGCGUGGGUGAAGAAGGCCUUCGGGUUGUAAAGCCCUUUUGUUGGGAAAGAAAAGCAGCAGGUUAAGACCCCGCUGUUCUGACGGUACCCAAAGAAUAAGCACCGGCGAACUUCGG
rnacentral:rRNA from 1 species